rnacentral:lncRNA from 10 species
GAAGUGGGAAUAAAUGUGAUAAUGACCUCGUGAUGGUGGUUUGAGCAUUGUGUGAAGUCAGGUGAAGAUGUCACCUAUGUUACCAGAGCCAAGCUGCAUGGCUGCAGGGGCUCUUCUGAACUAGCAAGUGAUGUGCUUCAGAGAGAGACUGGAAUUUGGCAAAGGAGAAAGCCCCUGUCUCCUCCUGUGUGCCGGGCCUUGUCUUGGGGCUCUGUGGGUAGACCCCAGCUCUGCUCUGCACUGGAGUGCCCAGACAGGUCUGUGUGAGCACCUCAGUGUGGGCUGCUCCGCUCCCAUCCAGGAGGCUCCUUACUGAUGGUUCUCAGCCCAGCUUUUAAGAUUCACUUUUGUUGCUUGUAUGUUGAAGGUAAACAAGUCAGGACUUUACAAACUGCCUCAGUCUGGCUGUGUUUCUGCCUAGCUUUGGGAACAUUUAUUUAUGGCCACUUCUCUCUAGCCCCCGACCCUUCACUACUCACCCCUUAUUAACACACUUGGCAGCUGCAGAGCCCGGGCCAGAGGCACCAGGCUACACUGAGGACGAUGGCUCACUGAGGAAGGGUAUCUGAACUCAGACAUGGGCCUGUUCUCCAGAAGCCCACAGUCUCAGGAAGAAGAUAGUUUGAAGUGGCUGUCCUGACGGCUUGAAAGUAAUCAGAGGCACGUGGCACCUUGGGGUGGGGUUUGGGGGGCAGAGACAUAUACCUACUGAGCGUAAGGAAUGUACCCAGCAUGGUACUGGUCACCCUCAUGUCUUGCCUGUUAAUCACCAUAGAAGUAGACCAUGCUAUUUUUAUCAGCUCCGGUUUACAGACAAUAACUCCUCCUACAAAGCCUGAUGUUCUCCCUUCCCAUUCUCAUACACCCAUUUUGCAGUGAUCUGUUUUUCUUGAUAGAUUGUAAUCUCCUUCAGAGCUGAGCCAUAUGCCUGUUAGUAGUUAUUAAAUGAAUGGGAAUGGGUGGAUAGGUGUGUUUUGAAAGCAAUGACAAUGUGAGCUUUGAGAAAAGGUAAGAUUCAAACCUCUGGAUGUAGGAAAAAGAAAUCAUCUUGGGCAGGAGAAAUAUCUCUUCCUAAUUACUUGAGGAGUAGCAGAAAAGACAUCUUAAUUGGCCCAAUGUCAUGGGGAUGCUUUCGCUGCCAUUCCUGGCUUUACCACCAGGCUGCUGGUUGGGCUAUGUGAUCAGACGGGUCCUUCCUCGCUGAAAUGUGCUGGGCCGUUUGUGGGCAGCCUCAGGUCCAGCAGAGCAAGAAGGGAAGUUCCCUGGGACCAGCAGAGUCAUCUACACUGUGGUCUUGGACCUCUAGAGGGCAACAGAUAGGAAGAGAACUGUGGCCUAAGUCCUCACUCUACAUAGGGAGAAGUCUGCCUAAAAGAAAUGGCCCCUGCCCUGGAGGCGUUCAGUGGUGUGCAGAGGGACCUAGCAUAGACAUUGCUGCAGUAAGUGCUGUGAUGGUAGGCACAGGACCAUGAUAAUAGGGAUAAUAAGGCUCAGAGAAGGACCAUCUAACUCAGCCUGGGGCUUCAGGGAAGAUUUUCUAAAAGAGGUAACAGAUAUUCCAAGUCUUUAUGGAUGAGUACAAAUUAGUGGGUCGGCUUGGGUCAGCUCGGCUCGGCUGAGAAAAGUAUCCCAGGCAGAGGAAGUGGCCUGAGCCACAGCAGAGGCCACAGAGUGCGGGGGGUGGAGUGUUAGGGGCCUGUGUGCAUUUCCACAAGACUAAGCCAA